rnacentral:rRNA from 1 species
GCCUACAGCCAUACCACCCUGAAAGCGCCCGAUCUCGUCUGAUCUCGGAAGCUAAGCAGGGACGGGCUUGGUUAGUACCUAGAUGGGAGACCGCCUGGGAAUACCAGUUGUUGUAGGCU